CCUUCCCCCCCAAAAAAAACACAAAAUCAGUCACAAAAUCGCUCAAACACAGUUCGAAUCCCUGCCCAAAAACCACCAUAAAUCUGCCGAAUUCCGGUCAGUAAGGUACCUCGUUCAAGCUUCGGUUGACGGCUGUGACAAAAUUUAUUGUUGUUACACAUUUUUGAGGUUCUAAUAUAUCAAAGAAAGAAAUUUUGCUACACUAAGUGGGAAGAAGGCUGUUGCAAACUGGGAAAGAAGACCCGAGCAUCUGAAAAGGGUGGCUCCUUGCACUAUCUGGAUUCAAGAAGCAUGGGGAUACGAGGAGAUAACUGGAAAAAAAUAUGGGAGGAAGAUGAUUCAUGAUGAGUUCUUCAUGGAGACUCACAUCCGGAAGAAGAAGGCACCGACAAAUCCAACUAGAUGGGUCGAGGACCAGGCGGAGACUACACAUAUAAGUUUCAUAACUACUAUAAAUGUUUAUAAUAUUAUAUAGUUAGUAAUUUUCUAUCUUCUAAAUAAAGGGUCGUUACAAGAUUAAUUUGGAGGAGUACACUCAGAGCUUGCCACCAAAUGAGCAAGGCGAGCGACCACCCAUUUUAGACAAAGAAGCGCAGAGGAUAUGGUUGGAUGUUGUCGAUGAUCCUAAAAAGGGGAUAGCAUACGGCCUUCCAGAUAAAUCAUUUAGGCACUACGGGGUUGGAUUUCAAGGUAUAGGGACUUCCGCCCAAGGCGAGGCGAUUGAUAGGUCGACUAUAUCGUCUAUGGAACAGAAGAUUGCAAAGCUGACAGCGGAGCUUGAAGAGACAAACUCUAGAGAAAAAAAGAGAGAUGAACAAUUUGGCACCCUUCAAGUUCAGGUAGAAAGGAGGGACGAACAAUUUAAUCUCCUUCAAGAUCAGCUGGCCAAUCUUCUUGCUAGUGGUGCUUUUCCCAUUCCCCGGUCUCGUGAGCCUUCCCCAUGUGCCGACGAUUAAGGUUCUAGGAGUGAAGAUGGA